UGUUAUGGCGGGUUGCGCAGGGACUUCCUCGGAAGUGCCGGUUUGCCUAUUGCCCGGUCCGCCAACCUUGUGUAACCCGUCACCCUU
rnacentral:antisense_RNA from 1 species